AAGCCAUGGUGUGGGCAUAAUCUCAUCAACUCCUUGAACCUAUCUCAAGUUUCAUACAAUGAUUCACCAUCCUUUUGAGAAAAGCCAGUGAUUUCGUUUCUUAGCUG